UACGGGGGGAGCAAGCGUUGUUCGGAUUUACUGGGCGUAAAGAGCGUGUAGGCGGCCAGGUAGGUCUGGUGUGAAAACUCGAGGCUUAACCUCGAGAUGUCAUCGGAAACCAUCUGGCUAGAGUCCGGAAGAGGAGAGUGGAAUUCCUGGUGUAGCGGUGAAAUGCGCAGAUAUCAGGAAGAACACCAAUGGCGAAAGCAGCUCUCUGGGACGGUACUGACGCUGAGACGCGAAAGCGUGGGGAGCGAACAGG
rnacentral:rRNA from 1 species